ACUGGUUGCUGACAAAUCUAGGCUUGCUGGCCCACUGCUAGAUUGAACGGGACAGGGAAAAAAAGGUUGGCCAUUGAACUCUGGUCUGUCCCGGUUAAACAUUGAAGAUAUUUCUAACUUUCCAUGAACCAAUCGUCUCUGCCACCGACAUCGUCACAGGUAACCACAGCGCCAGCCUCAACCGGCAAAUCAUGUAGCAACCGGAGGUAGUGCAAGAAGUUUCUGCAGCUGGAGCUGUUGGGCAGAUCCAUCCAAGUUCCAAGGAUCCUAAUGCUCUGUUUGUUUGGGCUGUGGCUGUGACAGAAGCGGCUUGGCUGAGUUGCGGACUGGGCAAUCAGGUGGCCAGGACGGGAGGAAACAAGGGAUGGGGCAGGGGUACAGAGCUAGUGGCAUAUCCUCACUAAUUUUCAUGAAGAAUCAGGGGUGAGCUGGUAGUGGGGUUGUGUGGCAGCAGGUGCUUUUACCUUGUUUGUUUCAGCUUCAGCAUUUUUUCACAAAAAAGCUGCUGUAAAAGCCCAACCAAACGGAUCCUAAGAGGAAGCCAACUAGGUUCCAUAUAAAUUUCAGUAGAAUUCCUACUAGUCUUCGUCGUAA